rnacentral:rRNA from 1 species
UAUAUAAGCCUUGAAAUACCGGUUCUCGUUAGAUCACCGAAGUUAAGCAUCAUUGGGCGCGGUCAGUACUUGGGUGGGUGACCACCUGGGAACACUGCGUGC